CAAUGAUUAACAACAUUAAUUUUGAUGCACUAUUUUUGUGCAGUGUCAGAUAAUUUUUAUUUUUAACAUAAUUCAAUUUCAAUUUCAGCAGAAGCUCAGAGCAGAAAAUCAGGUGGAAAAUCAUAAGAAUUUUUAAAAUAGUACAAAUUUUGAAUGAAACCCUAUUAACAAAAAUGCAUGAUUUUAAGCUUAAACAGCACUGGGAUUAAAUAUCGCCACUUUAACUGGUUUCAAUUGGGACAUUUUUUCAUUGAGGUCCUGAGUGCAACUAUUUUUGUACCUAAUAUAAAAUACAUUUAUGAAAGAAAACGAGGGUGAAAUAUUGAAAUUCCAAUUAAAAAUACACCUUUGACAAAAUGUAUGCUGUUUGCAUUAACACAGUCAAAAUGAUAAAAAAGACAAACGUGAAAGACUAAAAGUCCCUAAAGACGUACAAGGGUUAACAUGCAAACAUUCACAAACUCAAAAACCACAGUUAAAGAGGUGAAGCCUGUCAGGAAAGUGUCCUGGGACACAUUUCACAUCAAAAUCUAAAGAAAUAAUAAAUGAUAUUUCGCAUCAACAAAAUGAAGCCGUUUUUAGACUUGAUAUGCAAAUUUGAAGUUAAAAAUAUCAUUGUAUUUAAAGUAAUGAGAAUUUAAUGACAAUCAUUAGAAUAAUAAAAAUAAGAAGUACAAAAGUGUAAUGUGCAGAUGCAUAACGAUAAUGAGAUUUUUUUUUUUUAUUGCAUUGUGAUAAUGAGAUUUGGCAGGAGGGGAGAAAAUGAAAAUAAUGUCACAAUACAGAAACAGGCUUCAUUUUAUUGCUUUAUUUUUGUGAAAUGUGACCCGGACAUUCCCUUGAUUCAUAAAUGUGAACUCGAGCUGACAUGAAGCACGACCACUAGAAGGGCUGCUGAUUGUUUUCAUGUAUAUUUAGCAAUUAUUGUUAGUAUUAUUAAUGUGUAGAGUAGCAGUGGAGUAACUUGAACAUCACACAAACUCCUGUUUAUCCUCGAACUACUGAAUAAGAAACCAAAUGAAGAACAAAAAAAGUCUCUAACCAUAUACUUCGCGGUUUUAAACAGUGAUUGCAGGUAUUGUGUGUGUGUGUGUGUGUGUGUGUGUGUGUGUAAACAGGAUUCUGGGAUAUAUAUAUAUAUAUAAUUAUCUCUGAACAUGAGUUUUGUCAAUUCACAUCCUAAUGGCAGGAGUAAUAGUGAAUAAUCAGAAACAAGCACAGGAUCAAUAUUCACCUUUUCAACACUAAAGCACUCCAUAAUACUUCAAAUACUGAUUAAAGCACAUUGUAAGAGCACACUCGAGUCAAUCUCACAAAAUCAAAAACAUUUCCAGGUCAUAUUUCACCCCAAAAAUAACAAAAAGUAUAUUUUUCUUAAAGAAAAUUAAGCCUAUUUUUAGGACCAAAAAUAUUAUUUUAAUGUGAAAAAGUAUAUAUUAUUUAAAUUGUCAAGCAC
rnacentral:lncRNA from 1 species